rnacentral:rRNA from 1 species
AUUGAACGCUGGCGGCAUGCCUUACACAUGCAAGUCGAGCGGAUGAAGAGAGCUUGCUCUCUGAUUUAGCGGCGGACGGGUGAGUAAUGCCUAGGAAUCUGCCUGGUAGUGGGGGAUAACGUUCCGAAAGGAACGCUAAUACCGCAUACGUCCUACGGGAGAAAGCAGGGGACCUUCGGGCCUUGCGCUAUCAGAUGAGCCUAGGUCGGAUUAGCUAGUUGGUGAGGUAAUGGCUCACCAAGGCGACGAUCCGUAACUGGUCUGAGAGGAUGAUCAGUCACACUGGAACUGAGACACGGUCCAGACUCCUACGGGAGGCAGCAGUGGGGAAUAUUGGACAAUGGGCGAAAGCCUGAUCCAGCCAUGCCGCGUGUGUGAAGAAGGUCUUCGGAUUGUAAAGCACUUUAAGUUGGGAGGAAGGGCAGUAAGUUAAUACCUUGCUGUUUUGACGUUACCGACAGAAUAAGCACCGGCUAACUUCGUGCCAGCCGCCGCCGUAAUAC